CUAUCUACCUCGAAGCAGAACUACCCGCACUACCAGAAGAUGUGCUAUGGCGUGUACUUCGCCGCCAAGAAGCUGAAGCCCUACUUCCAAGAACACCCCAUCACGGUCGUAUGCAUCGCCCUGCUUGCCGAGAUCAUAGGCAGCCAGGAUGCAUCCGGCCGGGUGGCGAAAUGGGCCAUCGAGCUGGCCCCCUACACGAUCUUCUACCAGCCUCGCACCGCCAUCAAGUCCCAAGCAUUGGCCGACUUCCUCGUCGACUGGGCCGAGACCCAGUACCUGCCACCAGCUCCCGACUCCACUCAUUGGCGCAUGCACUUCGAUGGGUCCAAGAUGCGCACCGGC
rnacentral:rRNA from 1 species